GGUGGCUCAGUGGUAGAGCACUUGCUUUGCAUGCAAGAGGCCCUGGGUUCGAUUCCUCAGCACCA
rnacentral:tRNA from 1 species